AUUGAACGCUAGCGGCAUGCCUAACACAUGCAAGUCGAACGGCAGCGCGGGGAGCUUGCUCCCUGGCGGCGAGUGGCGGACGGGUGAGUAACGCGUAGGAAUCUGCCUUGUAGUGGGGGACAACCCGGGGAAACUCGGGCUAAUACCGCAUAAUCUCUACGGAGCAAAGUGGGGGAUCUUUGGACCUCACGCUAUAAGAUGAGCCUGCGUUAGAUUAGCUUGUUGGUGGGGUAAUGGCCUACCAAGGCAACGAUCUAUAGCUGGUCUGAGAGGACGAUCAGCCACACUGGGACUGAGACACGGCCCAGACUCCUACGGGAGGCAGCAGUGGGGAAUAUUGGACAAUGGGGGCAACCCUGAUCCAGCAAUGCCGCGUGUGUGAAGAAGGCCUUCGGGUUGUAAAGCACUUUUUCAGUUAGGGAAGAAAGGCUUAAGGUUAAUACCCUUGAGAGUUGACGUUACUACAGAAGAAGCACUGGCUAACUCUGUGCCAGCAGCC
rnacentral:rRNA from 1 species